rnacentral:snRNA from 1 species
UAUGAGGGUGACCUGGUUGCAACAUCCGUCACCCCAUGAAUUGCCACAGUUGAUUUGUCUGAUCUGGCUGGCUAGACAGGUGUCCUCUUCUUUCUCCACCACCCAAUGUGUGCUCCUUCUAAAGCUACAUGUUCAGUGGAAAAGGAGGAUCACCCCAGAAGUAGGAUAUUGCUGUUCCUUUUUGAGGAGAAGGAAGAAGAAAAGGAGGUGACAAUCAUUUCCUAUAGCAAAGAUGAGUCAUAUCUAAAAUUAACUUU